GAGAAAGUAAACACAGUGCCUGGUCUCAGGGGCUCCCAGACCAGCAGGGCAGGCUGACAGAUACACAUUUGCUCACACCUGACUACUACGCAGGGGCAACAUGCAGAGGCCCAUGAAGGAGGCGUUGGGCUGGAGCUGGGGCUCCGGGUGUGACUUGGCCCUGCCUUUUGUCCGGACUGGAUGACUCAGGGCAGCCAGGCCGGAGAGGCAGAAGGAAGCAAGGAGACUGAAGGAGGAAAUGCUUCAGAGAAGAGGAAAUAUGCAGAAUGUCCCUUUCUCAUCCCACGUGGCUCAGGCCUAAUGACAAAAGCACGUCACCUACAGAUGUUCCUGAAUGGCACCAGGGCCCUUGGGCUUAGGAGGUUCAAGAUUCCAGCCAAGAGGCCCUAUCUGUAGGAGAAGAAUGGUACACAAACAAGCCUAAGCAGAGAGAAGGCAUCUGUCUACAGACAAGGCUGAUUCCGUGACCUUGCUUUGUUACUCAGCUCUGAGCAUAGAGGCCUCACCGCCAGGGACUGUCCAGAGUUUCUGAGACCUCCAACAGUGUGUGGUCUUUCGGUCCCUCAGAGCCCAUCAGUUGCUUCAGACGCUGCAUUCUGCAGAUGGUUGACCCGCCUUUGGCACUGUAUGAAGGACAAGCUGGUAAGGCCACAUAUGGGAAAACCAUGACAUGUGGCAGAAUUACAGUCUAGUUAAAGAAAAUGUACACAUACAUAUAUGCAUUUUGUCUUCAGAGGUCUUGGUUUAGAAAACAAAUUUGCACAUAUCUGGGCACAAUUUACAUACACGUGGGCAUACUCUGCAUACACCUGGCACAAAUUUGCAAUGUUAUGUUCAUAAGGCUCUACUUCCAGGUAAAGUAACAGAACAGCUUAUACACUGUAAUUUGUAUUUUCUCCCCUAGACCCAUGUUGGGUUCCAUCGGUUGUAUAACUAAUGUAUUGUCUUCCCCUAAUUUGUCCUCCAUUUCCCAGAAUGUGUUCUAAUUUUUAAGAAAUGCAUCACAUUGUUUGUUAUGAAACCCAGUCCUGAAGGACAUUAAAAGGCUUUUGCAAGCUGA